AUUGAACGCUGGCGGCAGGCCUAACACAUGCAAGUCGAACGAGUGGCGGACGGGUGAGUAAUGUCUGGGAAACUGCCUGAUGGAGGGGGAUAACUACUUGAAACGGUAGCUAAUACCGCAUACCAUCUGAUGUGCCCAGAUGGGAUUAUCUAGUAGGUGCGGUAAAGGCUCACAUAGGCGACGAUCCCUAGCUGGUCUGAGAGGAUGACCAGCCACACUGGAACAGAGAAACGGUCAAGACUACUACGGGAGGAAGCAGUGGGGAAUAUUGCACAAGGGGCGCAAGCCGGAUGCAGCCAUGCCGCGGGUAUGAAGAAGGCCUUCGGGUUGUAAAGUACUUUAAGCAGGGAGGCGUUACCCGAAGAAGAAGCACCGGCUAACUCCGUGCCAGCAGCCGCGGUAAUAC
rnacentral:rRNA from 1 species